ncrna:Brachypodium distachyon miR5185l stem-loop (bdi-MIR5185l)
ACUUAUAUCCCGCUUCUAAGUCAAUCUCUAAAUCCACGAGUCAAAUUCAAUGCUUAUAUUUGACUUGUGGAUUUGGAGAUUGACUUAGAAGCGGGAUUAGGCGG